rnacentral:rRNA from 1 species
UACGGGGGGGGCAAGCGUUGUUCGGAAUUACUGGGCGUAAAGGGCUCGUAGGCGGCCAACUAAGUCAGACGUGAAAUCCCUCGGCUUAACCGGGGAACUGCAUCUGAUACUGGAUGGCUUGAGUUCGGGAGAGGGAUGCGGAAUUCCAGGUGUAGCGGUGAAAUGCGUAGAUAUCUGGAGGAACACCGGUGGCGAAGGCGGCAUCCUGGACCGACACUGACGCUGAGGAGCGAAAGCUAGGGGAGCAAACGGG